rnacentral:rRNA from 1 species
AGUCGAGCGGUAGGCCCUUCGGGGUACACGAGCGGCGAACGGGUGAGUAACACGUGAGCAACCUGCCCCUGACUCUGGGAUAAGCGGUGGAAACGCCGUCUAAUACCGGAUACGACCCGCCACCUCAUGGUGGAGGGUGGAAAGUUUUUCGGUCAGGGAUGGGCUCGCGGCCUAUCAGCUUGUUGGUGGGGUAACGGCCUACCAAGGCGAUUACGGGUAGCCGGCCUGAGAGGGCGACCGGCCACACUGGGACUGAGACACGGCCCAGACUCCUGCGGGAGGCAGCAGUGGGGAAUAUUGCGCAAUGGGCGAAAGCCUGACGCAGCGACGCCGCGUGGGGGAUGACGGCCUUCGGGUUGUAAACCUCUUUUACCACCAACGCAGGCUUCCAGUUCUCUGGAGGUUGACGGUAGGUGGGGAAUAAGGACCGGCUAACUACGUGCCAGCAGCCGCGGUAAUACGUAGGGUCCGAGCGUUGUCCGGAAUUAUUGGGCGUAAAGAGCUCGUAGGCGGCGUGUCGCGUCUGCUGUGAAAGACCGGGGCUUAACUCCGGUUCUGCAGUGGAUACGGGCAUGCUAGAGGUAGGUAGGGGAGACUGGAAUUCCUGGUGUAGCGGUGAAAUGCGC